rnacentral:lncRNA from 1 species
CAGGUACGUCACGUCGUUUGGGUUAUUCAUUCAUUCAUUCAUUCUUCAAUCUGAUAGAAAAUCAUUAAAUUUAUCAGAGUAUUUAUGUUUGUAUUUCGUAUACCUUGAACUUAUGGGACCGAGUCUCGAUGACCUCCUUUACUACUGUAGUGGCAAGUUUUCGCUAAAAUCGGUUUUGAUGUUGGCUGAUCAGAUNNNNGGUAAUCAUUCAUUCAUUUCAUGACUUGUUACAUAUUUAUAAAACUGAAUCACUCACCGUGGAUGAUGUGAAUAAAGAUGGUGCAAAAGAAACUUUGGGAAUGAAAGCAGUACAGAUGAAGAUGGAACAAAAUUGUGGUCUUAUGAUGAUAUACAGCUGAGAGGUACUACUAAUAAGAGGCAAUUCAAGUCGAAAAGUUGCAAUUAUGAUUCGGAAAGAUUGAGUUCUGAGGAUCAGGUUGUAGCUGG